UCCAAGACGUGUCCCACCAAACUCAGUUGUCCUCAACCGGGGACAGAAUGUUAAGCAAACUGUGUGGUGUGACUUUGAGAAGUUCUUCACACCGGAUUUGGCAACCCAACUGAACUGGUGCGAGAGGGGGCAGAAGACUUUCAUCCGGUCAAUGCCACUGAAGGAUGCUAUUAUGUACUGUCUCCCCUGCCUACUGAAGUAAUGCGUUGUCAUGUCCUGGCUAUGCCCCUAGCCAUCUCUGCACUGGGCUGGGGCCUGUACUGGGCUGGAGCCACCUUCCAUCACAACAGGACAGGAAGUUGUGCCUUUAGCCACCUCUAAUCCUUUUGGUCUCCUCAAUUGGAGGCAGGAGUAGAUCGUUUCCUCCAAUUGGGGACCCUAUUUAUGU